rnacentral:rRNA from 1 species
AGUGAACGCUGGCAGUAGGCCUAACACAUGCAAGUCGAACGGCAGCACAGUAAGAGCUUGCUCUUACGGGUGGCGAGUGGCGGACGGGUGAGGAAUACAUCGGAAUCUACUUUUUCGUGGGGGGUAACGUAGGGAAACUUACGCUAAUACCGCAUACGACCUACGGGUGAAAGCAGGGGAUCUUCGGACCUUGCGCGAUUGAAUGAGCCGAUGUCGGAUUAGCUAGUUGGCGGGGUAAAGGCCCACCAAGGCGACGAUCCGUAGCUGGUCUGAGAGGAUGAUCAGCCACACUGGAACUGAGACACGGUCCAGACUCCUACGGGAGGCAGCAGUGGGGAAUAUUGGACAAUGGGCGCAAGCCUGAUCCAGCCAUACCGCGUGGGUGAAGAAGGCCUUCGGGUUGUAAAGCCCUUUUGUUGGGAAAGAAAAGCAGCAGGUUAAUACCCCGCUGUUCUGACGGUACCCAAAGAAUAAGCACCGGCUAGCUUCGUG